GUGGGGAAUAUUGGACAAUGGGCGCAAGCCUGAUCCAGUCAUGCCGCGUGAGUGAUGAAGGCCUUAGGGUUGUAAAGCUCUUUUGUCCGGGAAGAUAAUGACUGUACCGGAAGAAUAAGCCCCGGCUAACUUCGUGCCAGCAGCCGCGGUAAUACGAAGGGGGCUAGCGUUGUUCGGAAUCACUGGGCGUAAAGCGCACGUAGGCGGACCAUUAAGUCAGGGGUGAAAGCCUGGAGCUCAACUCCAGAACUGCCUUUGAUACUGAUGGUCUCGAGUAUGGAAGAGGUUGGUGGAACUGCGAGUGUAGAGGUGAAAUUCGUAGAUAUUCGCAAGAACACCGGUGGCGAAGGCGGCCAACUGGUCCAUUACUGACGCUGAGGUGCGAAAGCGUGGGGAGCAAACAGGAUUAGAUACCCGUGUAGUCC
rnacentral:rRNA from 1 species